GAAUGGGACUUUGAAUUGAAAAAGUUCAAUGGCAUUGCCCAUUUGGAAACAUAUUAAACCUUUGCCCCUCAAAAUAACAUUCAACAUUGGUAAGGAGCAAUUUCUAGAAGUUUUCUGUGACAUUAGAAUCAAAUUGUAUUUACGGUGCAGUCUCACUGGAUUUUAUUCUUUUGGCAUAGUAGGCCUUGACAGGCACGUGCACCAACAUUUUUGAGGACAGCUGGUACUCAAGCUAAAAAAGGACACCCAUCAUCAAAAUUAUUCAUUCAAUUAAGAAAAUCGGUAUGUACAGUGGGUACGGAAAGUUUUCAGACCCCCUUAAUUUUUUCACUCUUUGUUAUAUUGCAGCCAUUUGUUCAAAUAAUUUUUCAUUUUUUUCCUCAUUAAUGUACACAGCAAAAAAACGUAAUUGUUGAAAUUUUUACUGUUAAAAAAAAAAAACUGAAAUAUCACACAGCCAUAAGUAUUCAGACCCUUUGCUGUGACACUCAUGUAUUGAACUCGGGUGCUGUCCAUUUCUACUGAUCAUCCUUAAAAUGGUUCUACACCUUCAUUGGAGUCCAGCUAUGUUUGAUUAUACUAUUGUUAUUUUAUAAUACUAUAAUAUUAUAAUAUUAUUUAUUUGUUAUUAAUUAUUUAUUAUUAUAUUAUAGUUUGCAUUAUCUUUAUCAUUUAUUAUUACAAUGACCCGAAGCACACAGCUAAAAUACCGAAGGAGUGGCUUCAGAUCAACUCCGUGACUGUUUUUGAAUGGCCCAGCCAGAGCCCUGACUUUAACCCAAUUGAGCAUCUCUAGAAAGACCUGAAAAUGGCUGCCCACCAACGUUCACCAUCCAACCUGACAGAACUGGAGAGGAUCUGCAAAGAGGAAUGGCAGAGAAUCCCCAAAUCCAGGUGUGAAAAACUUGUUGCACCAUUCCCCCAAAAGACUCGUGGCUGUAUUAGCUCAAAAGGGGGCUUGCUUCUACUAAAUACUGAGCAAAGGGUCUGAAUACUUAUGGCUCUGUGAUAUUUAAAUUUUUCUUUUUUAAUAAAUCUGCAAAAAUCUCAACAAUUAAGUUUUUUUUCUGUGUACAUUAAUGAGGAAAAAAAUGAAAAGUUAUUUUAACAAAUGGCUGCAAUAUAACAAAGAGUGAAAAAUUUAAGGGGGUCUGAAAACUUUCCGUACUCAUUGUAUGUAGGCAGCGCGGCGGACGACUGGUUAGCACAUCUGCCUCACAGUUCUGAGGACUGGGGUUCAUGUCCCGGCCUCGCCUGUGUGGAGUUUGCGUGUUCUCCCCGUGCCUGUGUGGGUUUUCUCCGGGCACUCCGGUUUCCUCCCACCUCCCAAAAACAUGCAUGCUAGGGUGAUUGAAGACUCUAAAUUGCCCGUAGGUGUGAAUGGUUGUUUGUUUCUAUGUGCCCUGUGAUUGGCUGGUGACCAGUUCAGGGUGUACCCCACCUCUCGCCCGAAGAUAGCUGGGAUAGGCUCCAGCACGCCCGCGACCCGCGUGAGGAGAAGCGGUACAGAAAAUGGAUGCAUGGGAUGAGUUGGAUUCCACCAAGGAAGUGUGGAACAGCCAUCUGAUUCGUCCAUCCAAGAACGAGCGGGUGCCUCAUGGUCGGCCUCAUGCAAUGUUCAUGGUACCUGAGCUGUAUGGCACCCAGGACUUUUUGUGCCAAGUUGGUGAGGAGGACUUUAUGAGGUGUGAAGGUGACUGCAUCCACCGCAAUGAUGUUGCUUGUGAUGCUGAUGUGUUAACUCUCUGUACACAUAUAAUGGCACAGAACAACCUUCAAGUCCCAGUCGAUGGAUAUAUGGCCAUGGACAACUACCUUUACUUGAGAGAUCAUUUAAAAAAGCAGGUGGACAUCCCAGAUCCAGAAAGGAAAAAUAUAAUCGGUCUAACCAUUUAUUAUACCAACUGAAUUUAAUCACCACAAUAUCUCAACCGGGUAGAUGAGUUCUCAACUGGCAUUCUGUGAAAUUCUUGAGAUGCUCAGAUGGAUCCAAAUUAUGGGAGGGUUUUUAUUUCCCGAACCUGGAUUGUACAGUUCUCUGCCCCACCAAGGCUCUUCCUCAUUAGUCCACUAUUGAGCCUCCACCACAUUUCACCAUUUAUGAGCCUCCUCUUUAUUUGACCUUCGAUGGACAAGCUCCUCAAUCUUCCGCCAAACAAGUGUUCUUUUCACGCCUCAUUUGACCGGCAUCCACUGAUGGAAUUCAGACCCUUGUUCAGAAAAAAGGUAUCUGGACAGACAGCUGUCUUCAGCCAUGACAAUUUCUUUCAGCUCUUUUGGUUUAUGAAAUGUUUUGUUGUUGCAGUUAAUUUCACAGCAUACUUUUCAUUGUAUAUAUUCUAUUACAUCAUUAUUACGUGUAUUUGCCUUGAUAUUGCCACCCAAAUUGCUGAUGUAUACACAUUUUUGUGAUCAAAAUAUGUAGCUAUAAAC